rnacentral:rRNA from 1 species
GUGGGGAAUAUUGGACAAUGGGCGAAAGCCUGAUCCAGCCAUGCCGCGUGUGUGAAGAAGGUCUUCGGAUUGUAAAGCACUUUAAGUUGGGAGGAAGGGCAUUAACCUAAUACGUUAGUGUUUUGACGUUACCGACAGAAUAAGCACCGGCUAACUUCGUGCCAGCAGCCGCGGUAAUACGAAGGGUGCAAGCGUUAAUCGGAAUUACUGGGCGUAAAGCGCGCGUAGGUGGUUCAGCAAGUUGGAGGUGAAAUCCCCGGGCUCAACCUGGGAACUGCCUCCAAAACUACUGGGCUAGAGUACGGUAGAGGGUAGUGGAAUUUCCUGUGUAGCGGUGAAAUGCGUAGAUAUAGGAAGGAACACCAGUGGCGAAGGCGACUACCUGGACUGAUACUGACACUGAGGUGCGAAAGCGUGGGGAGCAAACAGGAUUAGAAACCCGUGUAGUCC